ACAGUUACGUACCCUUGUCAUUCUUCUUGCCCGGUGUUUUUAUACAACUGGACGGAGAACUGAUAAGGGCAUGUUCUGUU
rnacentral:pre_miRNA from 1 species